rnacentral:misc_RNA from 1 species
GGUGGGGAUGAUGCUGAUAUCGAAGAUAAUUUAUUAAUCUUCAAUUAUCCUGGUCGACCAUAUGGCAGAGCGAAAAUGAGAGUGUUGGCUGAUGAUGAAUAUAAGGUUGCUCAAAUAUAUGUCCUCCUAAAUUGCCCUGAAAUUGGCACAUAUGUCAAGUAAGUUUAUCAAAUACCUAAAAUUUAAGUUAAAUCUACUGAAAUCAUUGUGA